rnacentral:rRNA from 1 species
AUACGGAGGGUGCAAGCGUUACUCGGAAUCACUGGGCGUAAAGGACGCGUAGGCGGGUUGGUAAGUCAGGUGUGAAAUCCUACAGGUUAACUGUAGAACUGCACUUGAAACUACCAACCUAGAGUAUGGGAGGGGGAGAUGGAAUUAGUGGUGUAGGGGUAAAAUCCGUAGAUAUCACUAGGAAUACCGAAAGCGAAGGCGAUCUCCUGGAACAUAACUGACGCUAAGGCGUGAAAGCGUGGGGAGCAAACAGGAUUAGAUACCCCGGUAGUCC